rnacentral:misc_RNA from 1 species
GAAAUGCGAUAAGUAAUGUGAAUUGCAGAAUUCAGUGAAUCAUCGAAUCUUUGAACGCACCUUGCGCUCCUUGGUAUUCCUCGGAGCAUGCCUGUUUGAGUAUCAUGAAAUUCUCAAAAUAAAUCUUUUGUUCAUUCAAUUGGUUUCAUUUUGGACUUGGGGGUCUGCAGAUUCACGUCUGCUCCUCUUAAAUUCAUUAGCUGGAUCUCUAUAGACUUGGUUCCACUCGGCGUGAUAAGUAUCACUCGCUGAGGACACUGUAAAAGGUGGCCAGGAUUGUGGAAGAACUGCUUCUAAUAGUCCAUUCACUUGGACAAUAUACUUUAUGAUCUGAUCUCAAAUCAGGUAGGACUACCCGCUGAACUUAA